UACGUAGGGAGCAAGCGUUGUCCGGAAUCAUUGGGCGUAAAGCGCGCGUAGGUGGCUUCAUAAGUCCGUUGUGAAAGUCAAAGGCUCAACCUUUGAAAGCCGAUGGAUACUGUGAAGCUAGAGUACGGAAGAGGCGAGUGGAAUUCCCAGUGUAGAGGUGAAAUUCGUAGAUAUUGGGAAGAACACCGGUGGCGAAGGCGGCGAGCUGGUCCAUUACUGACGCUGAGGCGCGACAGCGUGGGGAGCAAACAGG
rnacentral:rRNA from 1 species